UGAUACUGCGCCCAUGGUGAUUGAUUGUUCCGUAAUCAUAAACUAAUGUCGUGAUCCUAUCAGUUGGGGGUUCACUCGUUUCUAUGUUACUCAAUGAUAUUAACAUUGAAUCGGAUGUUGUUUGCAGCUUUGUUGGGGAGAGCAUGCAUGAUGAUGGCGGUUUGGUCUUUGCGUACUACAAGGAGGGCGCGACCGACCCAACAUUUAUCUACUUUGGUCAUGGUUUGAAGGAGGUCAAGUGCUAAGCAAUUGGCCGAGAGAGUUCCAAGCAGAAUGCAUGUUGUAAUCCUAGUCUAUAUUAUUGCUUUCUUUACUUUUUAUGUUUAGAAUUGGAGGAUGAGGAGUCUAUUUUUGCUUUGUUUCGUUAGAAUAUUGCGCGUUUGUUGACUUGGAUUUAUGCCUAUCUUGGUUUUAAUGGCUUUUCAACUUGGAUUUCUAAUUUAUGUGGUUCUAAAUUUUGAUUGCGAAAUAACAUUGUGUUCUACAUUUUACCGCCUUCAAGUCGCUUUCGUAUGCCGUCAAACAGUUGAAGGUGUGAAUAGUUGGAACUGGUAAUAGUUCUAGUU
rnacentral:lncRNA from 1 species